AGACAUAAACUGUCUAACUUUAACAGCACGCACCUUUACCUGCUCCUUGUCCUCUUCACUCAUGUCUUUCUGACGAAUUCCGAACAAAUGUUCAGUGUUGUAAAUUAUCAGGAGGUAUGGUUGAUGUGUUAGGAUACAACUUUUCUCCAUUGCUGUGUCAGAACCUUUACACUCAAAAUUUUCACCAAUCAUAUUGAAUUCGGACAAAACACUUUUUAUGUAGUCUUCUUGGUGUAGUGUAGAAGCAGGGUUCCCUCCUUCCACUUUCUGACUAUUUUCUUACUAAGACAGUCCUUCACCCCACCUAAAUCAUUUACCUCAAAAUUUGAUUGCAACGGCAACACUUGCACUAAUCUUACUCGGCUUCUGAUAGAUCACCAUUUAAGAAAGCUGUCUUUUCAUUAAGAUGAUUCAUUUGAGUCAUCACCGGAACACUUCUCAUUUGAGCUCAUAACUGUUACUUGUGAGAAUGAAGGAAUCACCUCUAAACUCUUCCUUACUUCAUUGAUCUUUAAAUUGUCUUUACAUGAUUUCAACUCCUUGACUGGGAACCUCUCAUCAACAAAAGCAACAGUUCUUUCUACAAAGUGUUUUGUUAGGUUAAAUCCAUUAACUUGAAACCUUUCUUUUCUUGAUCAUCGCCCAUGAGCACAGAAGGUCUGGACCUGCUUCCUAAUUUCUUACUUUUCAUUCUACUGAUAUACACACACAUAGGCCAGGCAUCCAAAUACCCGACGAUUUUCGACAUUUGGUUUAGUGCCUGUCCAAGCACGAAGAGGAGCUUUCCCCUCAACAGAUUUAGUUAGGCAUAAAUUCUUAAGAUAUACAGCCAUUUCAAGUGCAACAGCCCAGUAUCUAUUGUCUGACUCCUUUAGCAGAGCCCUUCCUGUAGAUGUAUGCCCGAGCCCUCGUACACAUCACCCAAAGCUUUCCAAGCAUAAGCUGCACUUGUUGCAGACCUGACGUACCGAAUUGCCGAAUCCCCAAGAUUAGGGCAAAUCUUCGACUUUGCUCUGAAGUCCCGCUGGAUCGCAGCAGGGUCCGUGGGGUGCGGGUCGGAGGUGAGGCAGUCAGUCAGACCUUCGAUGCCGAGUUACAUAUCGACGCGGAACUUCCAAUUUGGUCAGUCUUCAGCACCCUGGAGCGGCGGGAUUGGCGGCAUAGCCCCAGAGACGACCGUGGUGGUCUGGACCUCCUGGGAUCAAUCAGCUAAAGUCUGGCUAGUUUGGCGGCGUGUCUCACGUGUGUUCGCCGGUCGACCCGGGUUCCACAAACUAAGUCUACUUCUUUACUUAAAACACAAUUCUUCUCACGGAUCACUGGCGCAGUAGGUGCGUAGCACUGGAGCUCAUAACCUGUUGUAAAUUAUCAGGUCUUAUGGUUGAUGUGUUACGAGAAAUCAGGAGCGAGUUAAAACAUCGAAGGGCACUGUUCUGAGUCCAGGACGCAAUUUGUCAAGGAUGUCAACCACCCAAACUUUGCCAGCGUACAGGACAGCAGUAUUCAAGUCGAACUGAACAAGAUCGAAGUCUUAAAGUGCGCUAUGCCCUCAACUUCAUCAAGCUCAACACCGCCGGUGCCGCCCCCCUCCUCCCCUCCGCCACCGUCGUGACCCCCACGCCAAGGUUCCGAACGCUGCUGCUGUCGCUGCCGUCCCCAGUGCCACCACCGUCGCGGUGCCACCCGCGGGUAACAGCGGAACUGACUGGCUGUCCUCAGCCAACAGAAUUGCGCUGCCCCUUUCGGCCCCCGGAGCCCACAAGGCGGGCUCGAGCAUGAAUCCAGUGGGAGGCUCGACACAUAACUAAA